rnacentral:lncRNA from 1 species
CGGGCAGUGCUUACACCCCAAAUACAUUGCAGAAUUAGAUUAUAGUGCAGUGUGGAAGGGCCAGCCCUCAAAUGUCCAAGUUCAGAUGGAACUCAAGGUCCCAAUGCAAGGCUCUUAGAAGGGGGUAGAACUUAGAGUCUAAGAUUAAGUGUGAUUGCAUAUAGGGGAGUUAGGGAAGGCCAUGGCAAGAUGGUGGUCAUGCCCAGAAACUAAGAGUGAUGGCACAACCCUGACAAGCCUGUUAGCCAAAAUUGGGAGUUAGGAUCCAUUGAGGAUCAGGUUUAGACCUGGGCAGUAAUUUGGAUACUUCCAGGCCAUGAGCCUUAACUCAAACACAUAGAAGGGAGUAGGGGUAGGGAUUCACAAUAAAUAGCAGAUGCAAAGAGAGAGUGGCAUAUUCAAUUACAAAACACAAAGAGAAAAGUAAACAAGAAUGUAGAAACUCUAAAUAAACACAUAGGGGGUGAGGCAGAAAAGUUAAUUAGAUAAUACCAGUUUUAGGGAAAACAGACAAGUAAAACAGUAGUCUUGAGAAGCCAAGUUGCAAGCAAACAGUUUCAAAAGAUCUUAGAAGGGAGUAAAGUAUUGAAAUUGCAAGUGAGUAAUAUGUGCUCGAGGAUUGAACUCAAAGAAGUACUGUAUUGUAAGUAGUAUAAGUUGAAAGUGUUGAAAUGAAGGUUCAAGGUGUAUAAGUGCAGAAGGGUCGUGCCCCUUUUAUAGUUUAGAAAACAAGUAAGAAAAGGUAGGGAAAUAACAUUGAAAUCAAUCUCCAUUUAAUUAAGGGAUUCUAAUUUCCAAUGGGUAUAAGACAAUUAAGGAAAGAGUUAAUCAGAAAUAUUUCCCAAGCAGUACAAAAAUGGGCAAAUAAAUAGAAGUUAUUUAAGGCAAAAGUCCAAUAGUACACGGUUGUGAAAAAUAAGGAAAGAGAAUCAAUCAAACAACUCAUGAAAUCAAAGUUGCAGGGUUUUACUCGAAUGAACCAAGUCAGGGAGGGGGGUAAAGAAAGGUUUAAUUUAAAGGAAAUCAGUAACAAUCAAGUAAACCCUAUUAAAGGAAUCCAUAAUCAAUUAGCAGUUGGCAAAAACCCUUUUUUUGGAAUAGAAAGAACUUCUCAUAUAUAAAGCAGACAAAUCAAACAAAAGAGUCAUCAUGUUGCUUAGAAAAAGAGUCUAACACUGAAAGGUUCAGAAUCAUAAGCAAGAAGGGGCACAAGUCCAAUUUGCAGACUCACAAUGAGUCUAGAGUCCAGGGUCCCAAAGUGGAACCCUAACUCGAACAAAUAAUCAAAAUCGUCAAAGAAAAUCCUAAAUACUGGGGUUUCAAAUCGAAUCAGACAUAGGGAUGAGAAGGUGAGCCAUUAAAUAGACCCAGAGGUCUCUUUCAAAUACCGAUGAGAAUAAACAGACAUGAUACCAAGAAAGAAAGCUGAUUCAAGAUCAUGAAAAACAUAUUUGAGAAAACUCGGAACUUAAACAAAUUCAGAAGAAAGAGGUGAUACAAACUUAAACAAACAUAGAUGAAACAUGUUUA